rnacentral:lncRNA from 10 species
AGCGAGUCCAGUCCGUGGCUGCUGACUCUUUACAGCACUCUACUUGGAGUCUGUAAGCCGCCCGGACUUUCAGCCGGACUGACAAGUGGAGUAUCUGUGUCAGUGUACGUUACUCAUCCGUCGUUGGGUCAGGGUCUGCGGGAUGGACCCCCGCAAUGUACAGUGAAACAGCUGCCUCGUUCACCCCUGCAAGAGAAGAGAGGUUUAUUUGGUGGAGAAAUUGAACUAGAGGCUCCAUACUGAAGGACACCCAAAGCAUAGCAGGAGAGCAAGAGAGGCUGGCACUAAAAUAGAGCUAUCCACUUAUUCCAGUUCAGUGUUGAAGAUGGCUGGAGCCCAUCCCAGUAGCUCAGGGCAGAAGGCAGGAACCAACCCUGGAGACCAUCAAGCUUCAGAUGAUCAGGCAACAAAGGCUCCAGCCAGUUGCAGGUGAAGACAGCACCCCUGGCCUUCAAGGAGCUACCCUGCCUUCUCUAGACAGAGCAGGACGAGAGUUCCAUGAUCCCCAUCAGACGUGCCUUGCUUCCCCUCACCUACCACCAUGAUUUAAGUUUCCCGAGACCUCUUCAGCCAUGUGGAACUAAGCCGUAGGGGAUUGUUCUCCAGUCUUGACUUUGAGAACUUGGUAGAGCUCCUGAAGGCUCACCUGAUAAGAGAUGUAUGUCACAAUCUGCUCACCCUGGCAUUUCUCUAAAUAGAAGGUUCAUCUGUCUGAAUAUAGAUAUCAAGAAGUGGCAGAGUAUCAGAGGAGAAAGAUAUCAAGAAAUAGAAUAUUCAAGCUACAACCAACAGCUUGAUGACACAUGCAGAGAUGGAAUACCCUGUGUUCAAGGAUGACAGAGGUUAAGUGGGCAAAAGAAUCGUGAAUGUUUUCAAUGGAGUCAAUAAAAUUAAUGAUAGGUAAAUAAAUCCAAAUUGAAUGAAGAUGGAAGUGCACUGAAGAGUGUUCUGAUGAAUAAAGAAUAAAGAAAAUAAAGAAAGUAGAACAUAUCAAUUGAACCAAUAAGAAAUGGUGGUAGGAAAGUGAAGUGUUUAAAAUAAAGCUUUUGAAAGUGGUAUAUAUCUUGCCACUACCUAGAAUUGAGGGAUGCAGGCAAAGCAUUAACCUUUACAGAGAGUGAAAUUUUAGUUAACAUCAGGAGGAGCACAGAAGAAAAAGAUGGAUGAUACAUGAAUUUUUAAUUCCAUAUAUCAUCUGAUUCAGAGUUACUACCAAGGGCACUGCAUUGUAGUCUGGGCGCUCACUAAGGGGAUGAAAGAUGACAGAUAAAAUCAGAUUAGGGCAUGUCCAAGAUAGUAAGCAAGUUAGAGUGCAGGCAAUUAUUCAUAAACUCAGGAACUUGGUUCUAGAAAUGAUAAAUAUUUCCCAGAAUGAACAAUGGCAAAUAAUAGGAUUUGUAAUGAUUGCAUCACAGAACAAAGUGAGCCAUUAGUUCAAAAUGGUGUUAUGGGUUCUUGGAAUCAUUAGUCUGUCUUAUAGCUAGGAAUCAUAUACCACUGCUCAAUAGGAAUAUGAUAGCAGGAGUAUUUCCCCUAGAUCCUGAGGCAAUAUGGUUAAAAAUAUAAAAUCAGAAGUAAAAUAGACAUAAUUUCAAAUACUAGCUACAUAACUUAACUGCUAAGAGAAUUACGUAAUUUCAAGCCAGAGGUUUUUCAAUUAGGAAAAAAACCUUGGAGGGGUGAUGGGAAGGUUGAAGAGUAAAUGAAAUGAAGUGUAGAAAAAUACCCAACACGUGUCUGAAUGUUACCUUCCUUUCUUUCCAUUCUCCUAUGGGAGCUGUGCCUCCCCCACCCCUCUUCCCUACUUCACUACCAUAUUAAUUGUGUACAUUUGUGUGCAAACUUUGUCACCAGGUAAGUAACAAUAACUUUAAUAAUUAACAGGAGUGGCAUUCAUUGUUUUUUUGAUAACCUGGCUCAUAGUAAGCACCACUAUUUAUUUACUAAAUUAAUGAAAUGUAUACCUGUGGAAAUGUUAAAGUUUUAUAUCCAAUAAUGGCAAUUUUUGUACUGAGUUACUAAUAUCAUUUUUAUUAUUAAGAAAUGUGUUAAACAUAUUUAACAAUAAAUAAGAUAGACAACUAUUG